UACCAGCACCCCGAGUGGUCGGGACGAUUAUUGGGCCUAAAGCAUCCGUAGCCGGUUCUGCAAGUCCCCCGUUAAAUCCAGCUGCUCAACAGAUGGGCCGCGGAGGAUACUACAGAGCUAGGAGGCAGGAGAGGCAAGCGGUACUCAGUGGGUAGGGGUAAAAUCCGUUGAUCCAUUGAAGACCACCAGUGGCGAAGGCGGCUUGCCAGAAUGCGCUCGACGGUGAGGGAUGAAAGCUGGGGGAG
rnacentral:rRNA from 1 species